GUGGAAUUGCCUAGCCCAAAGGCAGGCAGCAUAGAAGUCUGCUUUGUCAUCAAGGAGGGAAGAUGCUCACUAGGGUUCUUGGCACAACUUUAAAGCCACAAAGAACUUGUCAAAGACUGCUGAACAGCUAUGAAAAUGUGGAAACAAACACUCCUGGUGAAUGAAUAAGCUCACCAAUUUGGAACAGGUUUCAAAAGACAAAACUCAGCAUUUCUUGUUGAGCAUGGCAUAUAUUACAGAGGGUCCCACCCCAAAAAAAGAAAGUCAAGUUCUUGGAGUAUAAGAUUUAGGCAUAUGUUUAGAAAUGAAGAACUAGGUGUGGUUGAAGGAGAAGAGGAUGGAAGUGGAGAUAUUUAAAAUGUAAAGGUGCUUGUGGG